GACCGUGUGGCCCCUUCCGCCCGACCCAGGAGCAAAGGAAACGAACCGCUUAUAAAGUGGCUCAAGGAUCGGAAGCUGGAAGUGUCCGGUGGGGUGGCGCCGGGUGUAAACGACCUUCGCGUGUCUGACGUGCCACAGGGUCGCUACCUGUCAGACAUCGAUGCCCUCAGGGCGUUCUGUUUUCUUCCUCCCUUUUCUGCGCAAUGGCCUUAUUUUGUGCCUGCCUGCUUGCUUUUUACACUGCUUAUCACCUCGUUGGAGGUUUUUUUUUGGUUUGUUUUGUUUUGUUAGCUGCAUUUCCCACUCAGUGCCCAUCCGGAAUGUAGUGCAGACACCCGUUGCCCUACAGACAGACCCGGCCGAUGCAUACAUUCGGUUGCCAUUAUGAAGCGCCCUUUUGCUUCUUAUUACUUAUCGUUGCACUUCGUACUUGUACCUGUGGAAGGUGCGCAACGGUGUGAUGAUGAUGAUGAUGGUGCGUUCCCAAUGCACCGUGCCAAUGCAAAACGAGCACGUACGGAUGAGAACCAGAUGGCAUCGUCGUUCGUGCACUUUCGGGACGAAGUAAUCUGGCACAAUUCUCCAGUCCUACUGGUUGGUGUAAGCAAGCAGAAGGGACGUACUGUGCGAUCUCUUGAAGGACACAAGACGAAAUGUGGCAUAGUUUCACCAUGUGAUUAAGUUGUAAAACAUGUGACAUUAACAGCACAAGGAAAGUGUUCGCAGAUAGUUAUGAUGCCUAUAUUUCAUACCCACAUUUCCUGCGCAUUGCUAGUCUAAUGGGUGUGUUGUAGUGUUUUAAGAACAUAUUUUGUGCCCUAGCAGAGAUCAUCCGCAUGUGGAGCAUCUGCACACUGCUCUACAUAUUGCACGAGACAAACUGUUACAAACUGGUGUGAAUUCGUGUCAACAAACAACAUCAUUGCCCGUGGUUGGGAAAUAAUGCAUUCUGCUGUUUAUAGGCCUGUUUGUGUUUGUACAAAACCCUGCUGCUUCUACCAGACAGUCGCUAGCGCUUGCAACACUUCCAUCUGGCAGUUGUUUCACGUUGUUUUGGUGCAUGUUCACCUGCAUCAUUUAUCGGAUACUGCACCCGACACUAACACGCUUGGUUCGCGUUCGAGUGUCACGUGUGGUCUGGCUAGUUGGCCGAUCGAUAUCUUCCGGAUGCAGCCCGGAUAGCGUCAUUGAACGCGUCACCAUUUAGCUUUCCGGAUGAGCAUGUGUUGUUUUUGCACAGCCAAUUUAUUGAGCAAUAUCUUACAGUGUUUCGAUCGUUACUAUUUAUUUUGACUGGAUAAAACAGCCUAGGUGGCCUUGCAAAUCUUGAAAGCAUGCUGCUUGUGUGCAUCUUCUGCAUCGCGUUUGCAGGCCGGCCAGAAACAUACACAAUUUCCCCGGACAUGCCGGAAAUGUAACUCACUCAGCCUCUUCAAUCUCGCUUCAAGGUUUCUCAGGGCGUUUUUUGGUAAAUUGAGCUUAUCCUCAAUCCCUUCCCUGGAAUUCCUGGGCAGCGGCAUCUCGCUUUAAUUUGAUCCCGAGUGGUGGUGGUGGCAACGUUGGCAUUCGGUGGUCUGGUGCCACGGAAACGAUGCAUUAAUUCGAAAAUUAUCGUCAAUUUUACCCUUCGAGGCCACCGGACGGAGGAGAAAGCAACGAGCCCGGCGCCGCCUUCAUUCAGUUCCCUUUUUCGAGUGCUUCAUUUGUUUUCCCUCCGGUUUUGAUUGUGUUUUUGUGUUUUCGGGGCUUUUCUUUUUGCUUGGUUUUUCGCCGUUGGUGCUGGUGCACUCGUGAAAAUCGUUCGUGAAGUAAGAAAAAGGGUGUGUGUGUGUCGGUAGGGUGGAAUGGAGUGUGAAUGAAUGACUGGUCAGAUUUGUGCCAGACGCGCCAGAGUUCGAUCGAUCGGCGCUGCGAGAGUUCGCAUACAAUUGAUCCUAACUUACCAGACCGCACACUUUCCAUAUGGCAGGGAGGGAGGGCUCGAGGGGAAUGUAAACCCAUAGGGAAAGAGCAUUAAACGUUAAAGAAACGAUCGCAGAAACAAUGUUGCUACUGCCGGCAGCUAGAUACACCAUCCGCUUAUCGCUUUCGUGCAGUUUUGUUGCUGACGAUUGUUUUGCUCUCGAGCGGCUCGGGGAUUGAGUUUUUGCAUUUUUGCAUGUGCAACGGUGCACACUGGCGUGGCGUUUGCACCGGUUUCGCCUUCGCUGGCGGGUUGUGCACGUUUUCCAAGAAUUAACACAAAACAUAACUACGGGCUUUUUUAUAUUUUAUUUCUGCAUCCCGAUCCGACAGCUUGCUGCUGCCAUCCACCAGCCAGCCACCGUUUUCUGUCAGUAUGGAAUGCCGUUCCGUUAGGUUAUCGUUAUAGUUCUGGUGAAAUUGCAUAUUGAUUGUGAAAUUGCAAUUGUACUACAUUAAUUGAUUCGUCACUUAUUUGAGGUUAUAUUCAGAUCUUUGGAUUGAACAUUUUUUAGUGCAUUGAUUUUCGCUUGCAGGAAGGAACGAAGUCUUGGUUCAUGUUUAAAUUGCAUCGAGUUUUUUUGUACAACAAACUGAAUGACUAUUUUUUUUAACAUAAAUGAUAAUGUGAGAAAAUGAUCCAACUCUAUCUAAGAGUUUUAUUUCCUUUUUUAUCUUUUUUACACAAAGUUUACACACAAGUUCUUCAAAAAACAUAAAAAAUAUAUUAAAAAUAUUUUGUUUAAAUAGUUAUGAUAAAUAAACCGUUAUGAUUCAAAUUACGGGCAGCUUCAAAUCCUCGACAUUCUGCAUGUUUUUUAUUGUAUAUCUUCAUACCCAGUCCCUGGACAUGCUGAUUUUUUUGCAAAGAUGUAUUACAAUAAAUUAAAAAUGUGUCUGACCCCUAGUAGGCCCUAAUGCCACAGUAAAUACAUAUUUUCUGUCGGUCGGUUCACCAGAGGCAUUUUUAGCAGUUUUGCUUCAAACCGACGCCAGCGUUAUUUCUUCGAUAAUUCGUAUUAAUCGCGUUCACGUGCAUUGAAAUUCCUCGGAAUCCAUUGUGGAAGUGAAAAUUUUUAUCAACGUGAAAACAACCGUGUAUUAUCAAAUUUCAUUAACGUAACUUUUAAUAAUGUCCGCAAUUCGAAGCAAGUUUUUUUUAUCUUGUUUUUAAAUUCCGGACAGCCGAGUUAAAUUGUGAUUUAUUGCAUAAAAAUAUGUUUUUACACAGUGUAUGUUUUAAAAAUAUGUUUUACACAUAAUAACAAGAAAUCAACGACAUUUGAAGAUGUAUGUGACAAAUGCAUUAAGGGCCGUACGGGAAAGACCGUCAAUUCGCGUAACAAUUCUUGGGUUCUAUUCAUCUACAAUUACGAGAGAAAAACAACAUCUAAAUCCCGUUGUAUUUAAGACCGUCGUUCUGUCAGUCUAAGAAGACACACAAUCAAGUGUCCAGAUUUUGAAACAAGUUAAAAACUAAAAAUGUGUAGUACGUGAGUGUUAAUUUGAAGAUUGUAAAAGGCUGUCCGGCAUAUGAUUCAAAUCAUUCACAAAUUGAAACAUGAGCUCGAAACUGUUCGGAAUAUGAAUCAAAAUAUUGUUACAAAUUGAUGAGUUUUUGCAAUGUAUAGCAAAAGAUUCCGUUAAUUUCACUCGUUCUUGUCGAGAAAAUUCUUAACUUUUACGAUAACCCAACAUCAUCUCUUUGUGGUUAAUCUUUUAAAGCCGUUCCCCUUUCUCGAGUGAGUCAUGCAAUAUCAGCAAAAUUGCAUUGUUAGGAACGUGUUUUUGCAGCGCCUAGAGGACAGAUUUAGCUGCAUGAGUAGUCGUAAGAUGUAUCGUCCGUUUCUACACAUGCAGAUUUGCACUAUUUUUUAAAACUGAAAUACUAUACGUCCAUGCGCAGAAAUGUCUGCAUUAAAAAAUAGCCAAGCAAAUUCUUUCUAAUAGUUAUGAUUAUUUUUUAAAACGUUUACCAGCUAGAGUAAAUAACCCUUUUACACAUUGUUGUAAAAUGCCAAACAAAAGAGCAACUCUUUUGCGAACCUCUACCGAACGUACACAAACCAUGGCAAAUCUUUUGAAACAAAGCAUGAAGCGAAAAAAAAACGCAGGCUCAAAAUACCUUCCCGUUCCCACAACGGAAUGAAACCUGCCACCGAACGUAAAUUUUCUCGCAUUGAACUAUUUACGAUCUUCCUUUUAUGGCGCUGAAACGCGAUGUUUAUUCAUUCGAAACUCACGCGCACGUAUGUGUGUGUGUGUGUGAUUCACAAUGCUUCCAUGCGGUUAACUUGCAAUAACCUGUGGACGAUGACUGUGUCCCGCGCUGUACAAAGAGGGCAGCAUCAUCAGCAGCAGCGAACAAACAAACAAAAAAAGAGUGUAUCAUAAUUAAUUAGCCCAUUCGCCCUAUUGAAUUGUUGUUACAUAUAUGGUUAAUAUUGCUCCAUUAUAAACGGGACCCGGUGGGAUUGUCCCGGGACGGCGACACGGCAUCGACGACCCCGUGUGUAUCGCGCGCACGCACUAUCAGUUGCAACGAGAUUGUGUGUUUCAACCACUGGCUCCAUCUUUCUUCCGCCCCACCGGCGGGGCAGCUCAAUGUCACACGUCAGACCGCGGGCAAGUCGCCGACGCGGAGGGCUCUUCCGAUGCUGUGGCACCAGAACUCUGCAGCCAUGUGUCAGCAUCCGUUCAUCGUCUGCACAACCUUCGGUGCCGGUUAUGGUGCCAUUUGUUAAGUGCAUGGAAACAAGUGUGUGUGUGCACCCUCGGUAGCAGUGGACGAGAUGGUUGUCCUCGGUGACUUUUGUCGUACACUUCGCCAAAGUCUUCGAUGACAAUAUACGUUUCGCUUUCCGUACGUGGCUUCAACACGUUGCACAAGAAGCAACAGGAAAUGGAUGGUGGGGACUUUGUGUGCACCUUGUGGCCUUUGAUCUGCUUCACCAGAUAGGAGGAACGCUGGGUCGAGAUUUGCACCGUGUUCGGUUCAUUAUCUGGUGCAAUUAUUUAAAGCAUAUGUAACGGUCGAACAUGAAUAGCAGCGAUACCCGGUAGGAGAGAGGUGAAAGAGGGAUGAAUCAUUGUCAAAUUUUGUGGUAAUUUUACACGAUCGUGAAAAUGAUGUCACCGAGUAGUUAAACCGCAAUAAAAAUGCAUUAAUUGGUGUGGCUGCGUUUCCGGACAAUGAAUUUAUAUAGCGCCACGCUCAUUGUCCCAUUUAGCGAGAGCGGAUGAUCUAAUUCGAAAUGUAACGCUUUGGUUACGUUAUGAUCGACGCUGGAAGUUGCAUCCAUUGAAAACUUGCGGGAUCGUUGCAUUUAAUACAAUUUUAUAAAUUUUUGAUAAUUUUUUCUUGUUUCAAUUUAUGGGUAAUUAUUACUCGUACGAAGAAAAAGGGAAUUUUGGAUUUUUGAUUUUUUUUCAAGCCUUUUGAAAGCUGUCACUUUUUCAAAUGCCUUUUUAAACAGUUGCGUUUAGACUGAACUCGAAAUCCCCUCAGCAAAGUCAACCAAUUAUACCGAUUCCCAUUGCACCUAUCAAUUGUAAUAACUCCAUCACUAGUUACUCGUUCGUAGUUACGUACCGGUCUGGCAUAGUGAAAGUGAAGGUUAAAUUAAGAGAUCUAAUUAAUGUCUCAGCAUUCUUAUCGCCAUUUACACUGUUAUUUAUCAAACUAAAGAAUUUUUCAUUUAUCACAUUUCCAACAAUCAUCUAUGUAGUGUAUAUUAUAACUAUUCCAAAAGAUGUUUACCAUUAUAUGAUAGUUAGGGAAUCAAUUAUCAUUUUGGUUGGAAUCGAAAUAUAUAUCUUCUUCUUUUUCUUUAGUUGUCGUAAUAAUCAUACAACCCUUCAUUAGCCACUGAUUUUUUUACUAAAACAAUACAAAUCCGUAUAUUUGCUUACAAACUAUUCCCUAACUUAUCAUGUGUGUUUAUUCCUUAUUUGUUUUAUUUCAUUAUUUUAUAUCAAUUCUAUGUAGUUUCUGAAAAGACUCAUGAUUAUUUUUGCCAUUUUCAUUAUUUAUGCCUUUUAGUUUUGGUUUAGAUAAUUCGUUGAAUGCAAGAGGUUUUAUGUGGCACGAUUCAAUAAUUUCUUUUAACAUUUUCCAGUAAUCUUAAAUUUAUAUGCCGUUUUAAAAUUUGUGUUCUAGUGUUUCAGUAAUUUCGCAAAAAGAGCAAUUUUUUACCGAUUUGUAAUUAUGUUUGAAUUUUGUAUCCUGGGUAUUAAUUUUUUCAUUUACUAGUAAAUAGUAUAAGGUCCUUUGUUUUGAGCUGAGUUCAUUUGAAAUAAUAUUUCGCCAUAUAUUGUUCCAUUUUAAUGCUGGGUAUGUAUUUUGUGUAAUUGAAGGAGAAGGAACAAAGUUUAUCAUUGUUUUAUGUAUUUCACAUGCUGUAGGCUUCUCUAUCUUCUCUCUCACAUGCGGUAGCGUUCUGUUAGAUAUGCACAUUCUAUAGUUAAAGUUUUCAGACAUGGAUAGUUUUUGGGGACUAAUUGUAUAUCAGGGGGAUUCUCUGUUUGAUGGUCGUGUAUUAGAACAGAUUCAAAUAAUUUAUUCUGAUCUCUAUCUUUUUAUUGAUUCUCAUGCCAAAAUCUUUUUCUUUUAUUCUGGAUUAUUUCAUUUCUCAAAACUCUUUAAAAUCGUUCCAAAGAUUAAAAAAAAUCAAAAUGAUGGUCGUUUCCAGCAGACAUGUUGGAUAAUUAUUUUUCUAAAUCAGUGGUAUCCUACCUGAGGUCCGCGAAAGAAUGUAUUUUUGAAGACGAAAAGCUUAUUAUUAUACAUAUUUUGCAUUUUUCCCACUACAGUAGAACGUCGAUUAUCCAGGCAGCUCGGGACCGGGUGGAUGCCGAUUAAUCAGUUUCCACGGAUAAUGGUUCAAGAAAUGUCAAAUUCAUAUAAAAUUGUAAAAUUUAUUGGUUUUACUAAAAAUUCACCUUAAAUCAAUCAAUUAAUCACUGAUAGAAUAGUUUUUGAAUCAAUAACAAUAGAUUUAACAAUUGUUUUUCAUCAAAAAUGAAAUUAAAAAAUAUCACUAGACUCUAGAUAGCUCCACAACACAUGUUUUUACAAAGCUGAUCAUCGCAGAAAAUGUUCGCCACGAUUGACCAACUGUCAAAAUCAUGCGCACGGUUAUGCCGCCCGCCGGUUAAUCCGUCCCCGGAUAAUCGACGUUCUACUGUAUUAAGAUUAAAUUUUCAACAAGCAUGUCUAGAAUAAGCUUAAAACAUAUUUUUGAUAAAAAACUUUGAACUAAGUUUAAAAAAAGUAUGUGGGCCCCGGCAAAUGUAUUUUCAAAGCCAAGCGGUCCACGAUCCUAAAAAGGUUGGGGAACACUGCUCUAAAUCUCAUCUCUGUUUUCAAUCUACUUCAACAAAGUAUCUUUAAUACAUUUUUUUAAAUCUUAGACUAAAUUGAUACAAGACUUUACAUUAUUUUUUUUUAAUCAUAGUCAUAAUCUAUACAAUAACAAACAAGUAAUGCAUUACGCUAAUUUAUUCUAUUUAACCUAGAAUAAUUCCAUAUGUACUUGUAGUAUAUGUACUUGUAAUUGUAAUUUUCUUCGCAAUAUUUGGUCGGCUUUCUGAUGUAUGAACUGAUGUAUGAAUCAAAAGCUUGAGAAUUGAAAUGUGCUAAUCGAUUUUGAAAUGCGCUUAGGAAUAUGACACUUACUGGAAUAUCUGCCACUGUAUGCCACAAAAUAUCUUUCUCGAAGACCAAAUGUACUCGCUACAAGAUAUUUUAGCUAAUUAUGUGUCUUAGCUACUACUAAACAUUCACCAGCUACCUAUAAGUAGAUAACAUAAUUUUCCAGUUUUUCAUUAUUUUUUUAAAAUUAGUAUUUAAACAAAAAUACCACCUCUCGCUCUCGCUUAUUGGCAACCGGCACAGGUCUACUUGUGUUUGUAAUGUGAUGUUUGCAGUUUGAAGCACACGAUACCACACGAAAAACAUACAGCCAAAUAAACCAAAACAGCGCGAGGCCUGAUAAGCGCAAACAGUUAUCUCACCAACCGAACCGUAAUAAUGAUUGACAGUGAGAGAUAGACGAUAAGAAACGAACAUAUACCACAACGUGUCAGGCCGCCUCGAAAAUUUCAUUGGCAGAUCCACAUUUUUUACUGUCUUCGUCACAUCAAUUCCCGAAGCCGAAGCCCUGGGCUCUAGGGGGUAGAUAACAUCAGCGACGCUGAAGUGCCUCCCGAUCGUGCGUCGAUCAAAUGGGAUUGAUUGGCUCGCCGCCAAAUGUGUCGAGGAGCGAGGUUGGUCCAGCUGAUAAAUGAUUGCAGAAAGCAAUGUCAAUGCCGGUGACAACAUUGUGUGAAAUGUGUGGCCGAAUGCCAUCAUCGCGCUAUUUUUUUUUUAUUUGCCGUUUGUGCCGCCCCACCCGUUAGCAGUUCCGGAAGCAGCGGUUAUGUUUUGAAUCUGGUGGACGUCCCUGACGGAGAGGGAGGGUGGUGCGCCAUGCUUGCGCCUUCGUCGUGUCGCGGUAGAAGAAUGUCACCGGGUGAGUUAAGCAGAUUGUUGUGAAGAAGAAGAAGAAAAAAAAAACACGUAAAAGAAGAAACCACCGUCUGCCACCACAUCAACUUCCCCAGUCAAUGGAGACAGCGAAUGACGUCAUUUGUGCAUACAAAGUUCUAGCCCCCCUGGCUCUCUGUUCGAUUGAGCCGUUUUAUUAUGCACGGGAGGGAGAGGGAGACACUCGGAGGAAUGGUUUUUAAUAUUUAACACACUGUUCGGUGGUGCAUGAAAUAAAUCAGUCCGGUCUGCCCAAAAACAGAAUCCGCAGGGCACGCGCGGGGGGCACUUAAAGCGCAUAACAAAACGGCCGAAAGUAGCGACGACCGUCGGCUGCAUUCCAAUUAUUAACCGGCUGCCCCGUGCGGCCUUCCCCGCGGCACGAUCCGCGGCACGAUAAGGGACUGUGGCCGCGUGGGCCCAUGCCGGCAAACGAUCCGGAACCGUGUGCGCAUAUCUAAUAAAACCGGGUCGCGUUUAAGAUUUAACUAGCCCAAAUAGAAAAAUAAAACCGGUGCGACGGUGCAUACAGUGAUCGUGCUAAUUGUCACCCCUCCCACA